AGGGUUCGAUCCUGGCUCAGGAUGAACGCUGGCGGCGUGCCUAACACAUGCAAGUCGAACGGAGUGUUGAGAGCUUGCUUUUAACACUUAGUGGCGGACGGGUGAGUAAUGUAUGAGCAACCUGCCUUUCAGAGGGGGACAACAGUUGGAAACGACUGCUAAUACCGCAUAAUGUAUUUUGGAGGCAUCUCUGGGAUACCAAAGGAGCAAUCCGCUGAAAGAUGGGCUCAUAUCUGAUUAGCUAGUUGGUGAGGUAACGGCUCACCAAGGCUGCGAUCAGUAGCCGGACUGAGAGGUUGAACGGCCACAUUGGGACUGAGAUACGGCCCAG
rnacentral:rRNA from 1 species